rnacentral:lncRNA from 1 species
CAAUAACAUAUCUAUUGGCUCUAUCAGUACAAAUAAACUGUGACAUUAAACCAUCUUUUAUUCAAGUUGGACAAAAUAAUUAACUAUAAGAUCACUGGUGUGCAUUCUUGGAAUAGGUUAUAAAUAGCAACAUGUUGCCCUCUUUUAAAACAUGUAUUUAAUAAGUAAAAUCUAUAAACUCUCUUAAAGUUGUUACAUUAUUACAAAUGUGGUAUCUCAUUCUCCAUGAUGAAACCAUUUAAAAACAAAAAAUGGAUGAUCAUAUCAAUAAGAACUUAUUAUUGUUCUUCUUUGGCUACUGUUGUAUCACUGGAAGCUUGUUACUAACCCAUUCCAUAUAACCUCCUCCCAUGUUGUGCACAUUCUUAAAACCCUAUCAAUUCAAUAAAGGAAGCACAAUAAACCACUACAUUACAUAAUUUGAAUUUGAAACUUAAUUAUUAAAAGUAAGUAUGAAACGAAUGACUAAAAUUUCAUAUAUGAAAAAACUUUAUUAAAUGAGGGAUGAAAUUUGUUUCAAUUUCUUGAAACAUGACUUACAUCAGCUAGAAGUUCAGAAGUUGCAGAAAAAGAUCUCUUCCCACUUUGGCAACCCUGAAAUUGUAUAUAUUUUUUUUAUUUGUAAGCAAAAUAAUUAGAAAAUGUAAAUAACCUACCAAAAAAAUUGAUGAUAGUUACCACAACGAGACAAUCUUCUUUGUCGCAAGAUGAUGAAACCUGCUUUACAAAAUUCAGGUUCUUCACCCUGCCUGCUUUACAAAAAUUUACCAUGAAAUUUGUAAUAAUCUUAACAUUUUGGUAAAUAAAGACAUAUUUAUAAUUAUCUUAUUAUAAGUAUGAGAGCUUGAAAAGUUUGUUACCCUUGGGUGUAUCCAACAGGUAUGGAAUAUUAAUGAUCUUAGUUGCAUCUACAUGCCCUUUCUCAAACUCUUCCACCGUCCUACAAAUCACCAAAAGAUUUAGAUUUAGCUUUGAAUUCAAUAUGUUUUUAGUCUUUAAUUAACUAGAAUUUUGUUUUAAUCUAUAUGCCAUUUUUUUAUUAUAUAAAAACAUGCAGUUUUUAAUUCUUUAUCCAAAGGGAAGAAAGACAAGAAAGUGUCUCAUCUAAUUUGACUAACUACGAUAUGAUAUAUUUUGCUUAGAGGUGGUGGACCGUAUCAAAUCUUUAUCUACGGGAAAGUUGUGAUAAAGAGAUCAUUUUCUCGAUUUGUUGAUUCUUUUGUUUGUUUAUAUCAAACAAAAAAAAUCAACAAAUCUCAAAGAGACAAAAAAAUUGUAGGUUUACCUAACAUCAAGAUAAAUGUGACCGGUCUGGAUGAGAUUCUUGGCUGCGUGUACAUCAAUGGUGACAACCUUUGCUCCUGAGCUACACAAGACAAAAACAAGAAGAAGAAAAAACGCCAAACAACGAGGUAACAAGUUUGCUGAAACAGCAGCCAUUGUUGUAUAUGGUUUGUAACUUGCAAGCUAGUUAAUCUUAAAUGCAAAUGUUGAAAAAUGAAAAAUGAAAAGUGAUUUUUACUAAAGCAUUUAAGUUCA